UCCUUAGAUGUUCUGGGCCGCACGCGCGCUACACUGAUGCAUCCAACGAGUUUCUUCCUGGUCCGAGAGGAAUGGGUAACCUUUUGAAACUCAAUCGUGAUAGGGAUAGAUGAUUGCAAUUAUUUGUCUUAAACGAGGAAUGCCUAGUACGGAGGCUUCAACAGAGUCUCCGGAAUACGUCCCUGCCCUUUGUACACACCGCCCGUCGCUCCUACCGAUUGGAUGUUCCGGUGAGGAUUCAGGACUUGAGAUUCAUUUCUGCUGCGGUUCUGCUGUAGUGGAAACUCUCGGGGAAUUUAUUCAAAUCUUAACAUUUAGAGGAAGGAGAAGUCGUAACA
rnacentral:rRNA from 1 species